rnacentral:rRNA from 1 species
AGAGUUUGAUCCUGGCUCAGAGUGAACGCUGGCGGCGUGCCUAAUACAUGCAAGUCGAACGGAACACUAUUUUUGAGAACCUCGCUCCUUUGCGGGAUUGUCAUCAGUAGUGUUUAGUGGCGGACGGGUGAGUAACACGUUGGUACCUGCCCUUUAGUGGGGAAUAACUCGGCGAAAGUCGGGCUAAUACCGCAUGUGAUCCUUCGGGAUUAAAGCCUUCGGGCGCUAAAGGAGGGGCCUGCGUCUGAUUAGCUUGUUGGUAAGGUAAUGGCUUACCAAGGCGAUGAUCAGUAGCUGGUUCGAGAGGAUGAUCAGCCACACUGGAACUGAGAUACGGUCCAGACUCCUACGGGAGGCAGCAGUAAGGAAUCUUCCGCAAUGGACGAAAGUCUGACGGAGCAACUCCGCGUGCAGGAUGAAGGCCUUCGGGUCGUAAACUGCUUUUAUGAGUGAAGAAUAUGACGGUAACUCAUGAAUAAGGGUCGGCUAACUACGUGCCAGCAGCCGCGGUCAUACGUAGGACCCAAGCGUUAUCCGGAGUGACUGGGCGUAAAGAGUUGCGUAGGGUGGUUUGUUAAGCGAAUAGUGAAAUCUGGCGGCUCAACCGUACAGACUAUUAUUCGAACUGGCAAACUCGAGAGUGGUAGAGGUAACUGGAAUUUCUGAAGUAGGGGUAAUAUCCGUAGAUAUCAGAAAGAACACCAAUGGCGUAGCAGGUUACUGCACCAUUUCUGACGCUGAGCACGAAAGCGGUGGAGGAGCGAACAGAUUAGAUCCCCCGGGUAGUCACGCGUAAACGAUGAAUACUAGCUGUGUGUAGAAGUACCGACCUCUCAGUAGCGAAGCUACACGUAAGUAUCCGCUGUGGAGUACGGUCCAGACUAACUAGGAUUGACGCAUCGAAAGCGGUGAUAGUCUUAAUCGAUGUGAUCAACGAACGUAAC